rnacentral:rRNA from 1 species
AGUGAACGCUGGCGGUAGGCCUAACACAUGCAGGUCGAACGGCAGCACAGUAAGAGCUUGCUCUUACGGGUGGCGAGUGGCGGACGGGUGAGGAAUACAUCGGAAUCUACUUUUUCGUGGGGGAUAACGUAGGGAAACUUACGCUAAUACCGCAUACGACCUACGGGUGAAAGCAGGGGAUCUUCGGACCUUGCGCGAUUGAAUGAGCCGAUGUCGGAUUAGCUAGUUGGCGGGGUAAAGGCCCACCAAGGCGACGAUCCGUAGCUGGUCUGAGAGGAUGAUCAGCCACACUGGAACUGAGACUCGGUCCAGACUCCUACGGGAGGCAGCAGUGGGGAAUAUUGGACAAUGGGCGCAAGCCUGAUCCAGCCAUACCGCGUGGGUGAAGAAGGCCUUCGGGUUGUAAAGCCCUUUUGUUGGGAAAGAAAAGCAGCAGGUUAAUACCCCGCUGUUCUGACGGUACCCAAAGAAUAAGCACCGGCUAACUUCGUG